GUUGGAAGGCUAUCGCUAAUCCAAAGGUCCUACACAAAGCCCAACAUACCUUAAUAACUAUUGUGUAAUUGAUUCUUGAAAAUGACGAUUGAAAGUGCCUAAAAAUAUAACAAAUUAAUAUAGAUCAUUCAGUGAUUUCCUUUUCCAUUUGGUGUCCGGCUAGAGCAAGGUUGUCCCAUUUUUAAGCUCUUGUUGAGUGGAAUUCAUUAAUGGUCUCGAAUCUUUCGGAUGAUGGCCGGAUUGGUUGGAAUUGGACUGGAAACUCACUGCCUCUCUUUCUUCCUUCACUAACAGAAAAUGCCAUGAAAUCUGAC
rnacentral:misc_RNA from 1 species